rnacentral:rRNA from 1 species
AAUAUUGGACAAUGGGGGCAACCCUGAUCCAGCCAUGCCGCGUGUGUGAAGAAGGUCUUCGGAUUGUAAAGCACUUUAAGUUGGGAGGAAGGGCUUUAGGCUAAUACCCUGAAGUUUUGACGUUACCACCAGAAUACGCACCGUCUAACUCGCUGCCAGCAGCCGCGGUAAUACAGAUGGUGCAAGCGUUAAUCGGAAUUACUGGGCGUAAAGCGCGCGUAGGUGGUUCAGUAAGAUGGGUGUGAAAUCCCCGGGCUUAACCUGGGAAAUGCUUUCAUAACUGCUGAGCUAGAGUACGGUAGAGGGUAGUGGAAUUUCCUGUGUAGCGGUGAAAUGCGUAGAUAUAGGAAGGAACACCAGUAGCGAAGGCGACUACCCGGACUGAUACUGACACUGAGGUGCGAAAGCGUGGGGAGCAAACA